AUGGGAAAGAUGAAAGAUUUUGAAUCUUCACUGCAGGUCCUGCGCGGAUUUGAAACUGAUAUCUCAGCAGAAGUAAAUGAAAUAAAGAGAUCAGUUGCCUCAUCUAGGAGGAGGACAACCAUACGAUUUGCAGAGAUCAAACACAAGAGAUAUAGUGUUCCUCUUAUGAUAGGAAUUGGCCUCCUUAUACUUCAGCAACUAAGUGGUGUCAACGGCAUUUUCUUCUAUGCUGCAAGUAUCUUCAAAGCUGCUGGUCUUAAAAACAGUAAUCUCGCAACAUGUGGUUUGGGGGCUGUUCAGGUGGUUGCUACUGGAAUCACAACCUGGUUGACUGACAAAGCUGGUCGAUGGCUACUUCUCAUUAUCUCUGCUACAGGGAUGACAAUCAGUCUUCUCGUUGCUUCUGUGUCAUUUUUUGUGAAGGACAACAUAGACGAAGCUUCUCAUUUACACUUUGUGAUGAGUAUGCUUUCACUGGCUGGACUUGUGGCAUUUGUGCUUGCAUUUUCUCUGGGCAUGGGAGCCAUCCCAUGGAUUAUAAUGUCUGAGGUAUAG
rnacentral:rRNA from 1 species